UUUUUCUUGGUGUUUUAGCACACAAAGCUUUGACCUUUGAGGAGGAAGUUGAGAACUCCCAGAAAAAA
rnacentral:tRNA from 1 species